AAAAAUGGUAGUAACAGUAUAAAACAAAUAUUAAAAAAAAAAAUUAAAAAAAAAGUCUCACUCGUAAUAUUAUUAUAUUUGGUUAGUUUUAACACUUAAAAAUAUUACUAUAUAAACAUUAAAACAUAUAGACAUGUAAUAUAUAUAUUUACUCUAUGUUGUGUUCAUAAACUAUAUGUUUUUUUUUUUUAAAAUAUAUACUCGAUUUAAUAAAAACAAACAAAAAACAUUAAAUGUAACAAAAUUAAGUGUAACAAAAAAUUUACAAUGAUAAAAAGUUGUUUACAAUGUUUAGAAAAAUUAUAAAUUAAAAAAGUGCAUAUAUAUAUAUAUUUUCCCUUUACAGGCAAUUUUUUUUUCUUUCUAAUAAAAGAAACCUACUCAUUGUAGUUGGCAUAUAAAACUAUAUAUUUUUAAUAUAUAACCGUUUUUUUUUUAAUAACCAUCAUUUAUAACUGUGUUUUAUUUUUAUUUAUGAAAUAAAAAAAUAAAAAAAAAAAUCAAUAUAUUCACAGAAAUUACAUUUUUUUUUAAAAGAAUAGUAGAAAAAAACAUAUAGUUUAAACAAAGUUAUAUGAAAAUAUAUAUAACUAUAGAGCUAAAACUUUAUUUAUAUUCAACAAAAUAAAAAAAAUACAAACAUACAUACAACCGUACGAAAUAACGCCCAUUUAUGAACACUGUAAAAAGCAGAUUAUUGGAUGCCCAAAACAAACAGAGACUUACUAAAAAUUUUGAAUUUAAAAAAAUGAAAAAUAAAAUGUCCACUAAUGAAGAAAAUAAUUUGAGUGAUGAAGAGGAAAUAGAAUUUGAAGGAUGGGUUGAGUUUGUUACAAAAUCAGAAGAUAGUCAAAUUAAAGACCCUUCGUCAGGUACAAUAAAAAAAAAAAAAAAAAAAGAAAAAAAAAAGAAAAAUAUGAGAAAACUGUCAAAAACUGAUGAUGAUGAUGAUGAUGAUGAUAAUUAUACAAACGAUACAUAUUUAAUAGAUCCAGAAAAUAAGCAUCAAACAAAUGGUCUACCAGUAUAUGGUCUACCAGUAUAUGGUCUACCAGUAAAUGGUCUACCAGUAAAUGGUCUACCAGUAAAUGGUCUACCAGUAAAUGGUCUACCAGUAAAUACUAAUGUAGUUUAUACUACUCCUAAUUUAAUAUAUGAACAAAAAGUUGUUUGUAAUAAUAAUGAACUAAAUAAUCAAAUAACCUCAUUGGAUCCUAAUUAUGUGAAUGCAGCAGAACCUAUCGUAUUAAAAAACGAACAAGUGUUACCACAAUUAUAUAUAAGACAACCACCAACAGUUAUAGUAACAAAUGAGCCAAGACCCCCUUUAGUUAUUAAUCCACCUCCAGCUAAUGUUAUUUUAAAAAAUAAAGCUCCUCAACCUAUAUAUGUAAAUAGUACAAGACCAAAUAUAAUUAUAAAAAACGACCCACCUGUUAUACAAAAUCCGAUUAAUAUGGAUACAACACCUAUUCAAGUGGAUACACCAAUAAUGCAUAAUACUGAUACUAUAUCUACUGCUACUAUUCCUAUAACUACAGUAAAUGACACUAUUCAUUACCCUACUUCAGUAGGAAUUAAACAAUAUAACAUAUCAAAUAACAUGUCAAAUAACAUGUCAAAUAACAUGUCAAAUAACAUGNNNNNNNNNNCAAAUAACAUGUCAAAUAACAUGUCAAAUAACAUGUCAAAUAACAUGCCAAAUAAAAUACCAAAUAAUAAUAUUUGCUAUUAUUAUCAAAAAGAUUUACAAGUUGAUAAAAAUUCACAACCAUUCAAUAUUAUACAAACAGAUGGUAAUAAUAAUAUAAAUAUGAAAGAAAUGUUUGUAAAUAAUAACCCCAAUGUUAUUAUGAUUGAUGGCCAAAAUCAAAAUACUAAUUUAUAUCAACAACAGACAUCAGUACCUUUAGUUUUGUCAAAUAAUAAUGUUUUACAUACACAAGGAUCUAUAAAUAAUGCAAUUGCUUCUUUUGAUACACAAGGAUAUAAUUAUAUACAACAAAAUAAUCCUUAUCCAUAUACACAAUAUAUUUCUAUCCCUGACAAUAAUCCACAUAUAUUGAAUCAACAAGUUAUAGCAGAACCAGCAGUGAUAAAUCCUGUAUAUAAUUUUAUGCAUUCAUCUCCAUCCCAAGUUAUACAUCAACAAUCAGCUCCGAACAUAUUACAAUAUCAACAACCAACUCCGAACAUAAUUUAUCAACAACCGGAAACUCAAGUUAUACAAAAAGGUUUAGAAACCCAAGAACAACUCAGGUAGAUAAUAAACAUGGGAUACAACGAAACCUUUCUAACUCC
rnacentral:lncRNA from 1 species